rnacentral:rRNA from 1 species
AACCAACAGGGAUUGCCUCAGUAACGGCGAGCGAAGCGGCAAGUGCUCAGAUUUGAAAUCUGGCCCCCUCCGGGGUCCGAGUUGUAAUCUGUAGGGGAUGCUUCGGAGUCGGGCCCGGUCCAAGUCCCCUGGAACGGGGCGUCGCAGAGGGUGAGAAUCCCGUCCGCGGCCGGCGCAAGUCUCCGUGCGAAGCUCCUCCGACGAGUCGAGUUGUUUGGGAAUGCAGCUCUAAAUGGGAGGUAAAUUUCUUCUAAAGCUAAAUACCGGCCAGAGACCGAUAGCGCACAAGUAGAGUGAUCGAAAGAUGAAAAGCACUUUGGAAAGAGAGUUAAAAAGUACGUGAAAUUGUUGAAAGGGAAGCGCUUGCGACCAGACUCGACCGCGGUGGUUCAACCCUCCCAGCGGAGGGCCCACGCCGCCGUGGUCGGGCCAGCAUCGGUUCCGGCGGUCGGAGAAAGGCUUGGGGAACGUGGCUCCCUUCGGGGAGUGUUAUAGCCCCUCGCGCAAUGCGACCUGCCGGGACCGAGGACCGCGCUCCGGCAAGGAUGCUGGCGUAAUGGUCGUAAGCGGCCCGUCUUGAAACACGGACCAAGGAGUCUAACAUCUGUGCGAGUGUUCGGGUGUCAAACCCCUGCGCGUAAUGAAAGUGAACGGAGGUCGGAGCCCUCGGGCGCACGAUCGACCGAUCCUGAUGUCUUCGGAUGGAUUUGAGUAGGAGCACAGCUGUUGGGACCCGAAAGAUGGUGAACUAUGCCUGAGUAGGCCGAAGCCAGCGGAAACGCUGGUGGAGGGUCGCAGCGGUUCUGACGUGCAAAUCGAUCGUCAAACUUGGGUAUAGGGGCGAAAGACUAAUCGAACCAUCUAGUAGC